rnacentral:lncRNA from 1 species
GCCCAGUGGAGGCCAGUAGCCUGCUCCCCCUCCCCCAGCUGCCCCCUAUCCCUCCUCCCAGCCCUCUGCCCGCCCGCCUGGCCGCCCCAGGAGAAUUCAGCCAGCUCCAAAGGGGAUGGUUCCCCUUAGUCCCAAAGCCAGUCACUGGAGUCCAUGCCAACAUGCCCCCCUGCCAGGUGCUUCGGGCCAGCCCCUCGGCCACCUCACCUCCUAAUACCAAGGAUGCGAGUGCAACUUUCCUUGUCUGAGGUGGGGGGGCUGCUUUGAGACCUCCCUCUCUCCUCAGAAAAGCGGUUUUUCCAGCCACUGGAGAGACAUUCAUCUGCAGAUCCCUUAUCUCAACCUGACAGGUCAAAGACGAGUUCUACUCCUUUAAGUGCCAAGAAGAGGUCUUAUUCUGUCCUGCGCCAGAAGACACUGAACGUGUGCCUGCAUCUGAAGUAAAAGCCAGCAGACACAGCCAACAUUCCUUUCUGAAGCUUCCCUUUCAAGAGAGCUGCUUCAUUCUGAUUGGGAGCUUUCUCCUGCAAGGAGGGGAGGGAGAAUGGGAGGGAGCCGACUGUGGACUGAGACUUAAGGAAUGGGAGGCUCCGCUUCACACAGUCGUCUCCUUCAAGCCCUCUACAUUCCAGCCAAGCUGGGCCCCUGGCUGCUUCCUGAUUUCUUUCCUGUUCUCUCCUGCCUCUUCUUUUCUUUCAAGGCCAGUCCAGUUACUGCCUCCUCUAUGAAGUUUUCCCUCUUGGCCUAAAUCAUUU